AGAGUUUGAUCCUGGCUCAGAAUCAACGCUGGCGGCGUGCCUCAGACAUGCAAGUCGAACGCGAAAGUUCCCUUCGGGGAGCAAGUAGAGUGGCGCACGGGUGAGUAACACGUAGGUAAUCUACCUUUGGAUUGGGAAUAACCAUCGGAAACGGUGGCUAAUACCGAAUAAUGCAGCGGCACCUAAUGGUGACAGUUGUUAAAGCGGGGGAUCGCAAGACCUCGCGUCUGAAGAGGAGCCUGCGGCAGAUUAGCUAAUUGGUAAGGUAACGGCUUACCAAGGCGAUGAUCUGUAGCCUGCCUGAGAGGGCGGUCGGCCACACUGACACUGACAUACGGGU
rnacentral:rRNA from 1 species